rnacentral:rRNA from 1 species
GACGAACGCUGGCGGCGUGCCUAAUACAUGCAAGUAGAACGCAGUUGCGAACGGGUGAGUAACGCGUAGGUAACUGCCUCAUAGCGGGGGAUAACUAUUGGAAAAGAUAGCUAAUACCGCAUACUGUGAGAUGGACCUGCGUUGUAUUAGCUAGUUGGUGAGGUCAAGGCUAACCAAGGCGCCGAUACAUACACGACCUGAGAGGGGGAGCGGCACCCACGGGACUGAGAAACGGCCCCGGAUCCUAAGGUAGGCAGCAGUAGGGAAUUUUCGGCAAAGGACCGGAGUCUGACCGGGGAAAGCCUCGGGAGUGAAGAAGGUUUUCCGAUCGGAAAGCUCUGUUGUUAGAGAAGCGGUAACUAACCAGAAAGGGACGGCUAACUACGUGCCAGCAGCCGCGGUAAUAC